AUGCGCACCGCGCCGAAGAGCUUUUCGGGCAGCUCCUCCUCGGACUGGGACUCGACAAGGAAGCCCAUGUCGAUGGUCACCGAGGUGACCGCGCCCAGCGCCAGAUGCAGGAUGGCAUGGCGAUCGCCGAGCUGCCGAUGUCCACGUCGAUCUCGAGGUAGUCGUCGCCCCUGUGGUAGCGGCACGUGA
rnacentral:rRNA from 1 species